rnacentral:lncRNA from 1 species
AAUGAGAAAGGCCUGGAACGGGUUGGUCCUGAGUCGGAGAUGGACUCACAGGGCUAAAACUCGCCGGAGAUGAGCCGGAAAGGGCCAUAGAACUUGAAUCGCAAAGAUUAUGAGCUAGGGUCUUCAAAUUUGGCUCUGAAACCUCGAGGGAAAGGAGCAUAGAGGUAUGUGGGGAUAGGUACAGGCUGCUCAGGGUCUGAGAAGCCAUAGUUUCCAGUGAAAUAAGGUCAGAGACCGGUGAAAUAGGUUAGGAUUUCAGAGGGGCUUGGGAGCGUUUGAUAGAUGAUGG